AACUCUCUGUCAUGGGCCCAGCCAGAUGCACAUGGCAAAUGCUCAGGACAUGUAGCAGCUUAAGCUAAGAUGAUGAAGCUCUACUGGCCAGGCCAACAACCUAGGAGUCAUCCUUGACUGUUCUGUCUCUCAUACCUUUCUGAGGUUGGGCUCCCCUGGCAGCAGCCCUUGAGAUAAGGAUGUGAGGGUCUGAGUUGUGGCACGUGGGAUCUUCACUGAGUCGUGUUGGAUCGUUUGUUGCAGCGCAUGGGCUCUUUGUCGUGGCCCUUCUCUCUAGCUGUGGCAUGUACCAACCUGUGGCUUCCAGAAAGGCCAGUGAAGGAAGGAGCAUCCUGUCCACUGCCCACCAGGGUGAUCAAGCCAAGAAACCAGCCAGUUGUAUGUCGCCUGUGGGUCCCUAAUCCAGAGGUGGGACUCCCACGCACGCCUACACCAGUAUAUGGAAAUCUGCCGCCUCAGCCCAUUCCCCAGGGGACUUCUUUUGGAGACAGGAAAAUAAAGGAAUAGGCAAAUACAUCUGUACCAUGUGACUUUGUGAUGUAUUUUUUUCACCUCUUGACUGGAGGCUCAGCCAUGAAACUUGACUUGGACAAAGAACUCUUAGUGGAUGAGACCAGGAAAGGCUUGGAAAAUGCACGUACUGUUGGGGUCAUGUCUCUUACGCCUCUUAUACCAUUCUGCUGUUAAGCUCACCUGGUGAAUUUUUAAAUUUCACAUAUAUUUUCACGCUAUUUUUAAGGAGCCAUUUUUGCUCUAAAAUUUCCACUUGUUUUAAAAAAUAGUUUCUGUUUCUUUGCUGAGAUUUCCUAUCUUUGCGUUCAUAUGAACAUGUUUUUCUUUACCUCACUAAAUAGUUAUUAUAGCUGCCUUAAAAUCCUAAGGUCUAAUAAUUCCAUUAUCCGGUUCAUCUUAGAGCCGGUAUCUAUUGAUUGUCUCUUCUCUCUCUCUCUCUUGUUUUAAAUAUUUAUUUAUUUUGGCUGUGCCGAGUCAGUUGCGGCACGUGGGAUCUUCUUUGCCGCAUGUGGGAUCUUCAUUGCAGCAUGCUGGAUCCUUUGUUGUGACAUGUGCACUCUUAGUUGCUGCAUGCAUGUGGGAUCUAGUUCCCCCAUCAGGGAUUGAACCCGGGGCCCCAUCAUUGGGGGUGCAGAGUCCUACCCACUGGACCACAAGAGAAGUCCCUGCCUCUUCUCUUGAGACUGGGUCACACCCUGGCUUUUCAUGUGUUGAACGGUUUUGGAUUAUAUCUUGGACAUUGUGAAUGUUACAUUGUAGAGACUGAAUUCUGUUAUAUUGCUCUGAAAGGUGACUAUUUUUAUUUUUGCAGGCAAUUAACUUAGAUACAAACUGCGAACUUUUAUGCCUGCAGUGGUUUAUGCUUGCAGUGGAAGGCCACUCAGAUCUUAGUUUAGUUCUUUAAGUUUUAGCUGCAAGCUGCUUUCAGUUUUCCCCAAGUAAGUAUGGUUCAGGGGUCAGGGUUAAUUAAAAACCUGGGCUAAGUUUAUAUAAAGAAUUUGGGAUUCCCUUUUGCUGACUUUUUCUUUCCGGGGUUCCUCCUUACUCUCCAGUGGUCACUGUUGCCUCAGGCUCCCUCUCCUUCGUCUGGCCAGAAAGACCACAGGCGUUCUUACCAGAGUUGUAGCCAACCUUGCGGCAUCCUCCACAGCAACUGCAGUUGACCUCAGGCCAAAGCCACGAAAAUUAGGAACUCACUCCAUGCCUCUUGCUUGUUCCAAUUUUCAACAUCCCUCCAAAACCUGUCUUUUAUACAAUCUCUCGUGCUCUCAACUGUAUUUUUAAACCUUUUUCCCGAGUUUAUAGCACCUAUUUGCAGAUUGAUCAGUUUGUUAGGUGUUAUAUGCUGAAUUCUCCAGGCCAGAAGCAGAACAUUCUUUAGGGUGACAAGUUUAAGUCAAAUUGUUCUUGAUGGGUCUUCUCAAAUAGUACAGAGUUGUCUUUUGCACCUCUUACCAUCACCUUUUCUCUGCUUUAUUCUUCUUAUAGAACUUAUCACUGCCUGAUGUUGUCUAUAUUUGUGUAUAAUCUCUCCUCCCCAUUAAAAUGUAAGUUCUACGAGAGUAUGGUCUUUAUCUGUUCUGCCUCAGCGUGGAUGGAAAGCCUCAGCUCCCUGUAAAAGGGGAAAAAUCUGGGAGAGGUGGGAAGGUGUGGGCACCAGGAGGGGCCUUAGCAGCAGCUACGCUGAAGUGUAGGUGGGUCU